UACGGGGGGAGCAAGCGUUGUUCGGAAUUACUGGGCGUAAAGGGCGCGUAGGCGGCCUUCUAAGUCGAACGUGAAAUCCCCGGGCUCAACCCGGGAACUGCGUCCGAUACUGGCAGGCUUGAAUCCGGGAGAGGGAUGUGGAAUUCCAGGUGUAGCGGUGAAAUGCGUAGAUAUCAGGAGGAACACCGGUGGCGAAGGCGGAUCUCUGGGCCUUACCUGACGCUCAGGCGCGAAAGCUAGGGGAGCGAACUGG
rnacentral:rRNA from 1 species